rnacentral:lncRNA from 12 species
CCCAAAUCCAGGAGGAUUCAGGGAUAAAUUUAUUCCCCCUCUGGAAACCUGGAGCAGGGGGUUGUUGGGGAUGCAGAACCCGGCUGGGGGAGCAGAGAAAAGCUGAAUUCGGGGGGGUUCAGCUACGUUUUCCACCCCAAUUCUGAAGUAAUUCAGGGAAAAAAUUGGGGUCUGAGCUUUUCGCACCCCAAAUCCAGGAGGAUUCAGGGAUAAAUUUAUUCCCCCUCUGGAAACCUGGAGCAGGGGGUUGUUGGGGAUGCAGAACCCGGCUGGGGGAGCAGAGAAAAGCUGAAUUCGGGGGGGUUCAGCUCCUUAAAAUCCCCCAUUUGCAGGUCCCCUUGGAAGUGUUUAUCCAUUAUUGAAAAGCCCAGAUGUUCCACGUCCGGGAAGAUCAGCUCUCAGCAGAUCAGCGGCGUCCAUUUAUUGUUCUUCCCUCUCUCCCUCCUCCCUCCCCCGGGGCUUUUAAUUAAUCCAUCACCCCCACCCCUCCGGGUUCCCUCCAGCCCAGCCAGCCCCAUUUUUCCUUUUUUUUUUUUUUUUUUUUUUUUUGGAAGUGGAGCAAUUGUUUCUCUCCCCUCGCACAAGUCCUGGAGCGAGACAGAGACAUUUAGCAGCCGCUGUGAAAUUUCAGCCGGGACUGGAAUUUAUUUUAAGACGCCGGCCUUUAAAUUUUUCAUUAAACCCUUUUCUCCCUCACUCCUGCCAGGCUGCAGGGACCUGGGGGAGGUGGUGUUGAUAUUCCCGGCACGUGGGGAGAGGAUUUAGGAUUUCACUUUAGGAUUUCACAGCCUGCAGCCGUCCCCAGCCCCUGGAAUUCCAAAUGUCACCUGGUUCCUUUUCCAUCAGCUGCAUUUCCAGGGGCUGGGAGCAGAAUUUGGAGCACCCCAGGAAGGAUCUGCGGGGUUGUGGUUGGGGCUCAGGGGCCUGAGCUGGGAUUUUUCCUCUUGGGAGGAUCCAGGGAAGGAGAAACCGGCAGGAAAAUCAGAGGGGAUGGAAGGGGCUGGAGGAGAUUCCUUCUUCCCACGUGCUCGUUCUGCAUUUCCAUCCAGUUCCUGCUGCAUUUCCAUCCAGUUCCUGUUCCCAUCCAGUUCCUGUUCCAUUUCCAUCCAGUUCCUGUUCCAUUUCCAUCCUGUUCCUGUUCCCAUCCUGUUCCUGUUCCAUUCCCAUCCUGUUCCUGUUCCAUCCAGUUCCUGUUCCGUUUCCAUCCUGUUUCUGUUCCGUUCCCAUCCUGUUCCUGUUCCCAUCCUGUUCCUGCUGCAUUUCUCACCCACUUCCUGUCUCCAGGAUCACGCUUUCCCUAUAUCCAGAUCCCAAAUAUCCAUC